UAUCCGAAGAUAUCCGAAGAUACCCGAAGAUAUCCGAAGUUCAACGAAGUUAUGAGCCGAAAACGGCCGAAGGGUGCCGAAGUUACAAAUUGGCGCCAAAAAGUUCAGUAAUUUUACGAACCGCGAAAGUGUAGCAGUCACGUUACUCAUUAUUAAUUUACAUUAAAUUUAUCAGUUUGUGCAAUAUAUUUAUACAAAUAUCGAUAUAUAAUGUGUGAAAAUAAGUGUUAACGGAAUAAUUUAUUAUUAAAUGUGUAAUAUAAUAAUAUAAUAGAAAUAUUAUAUUGUAUCAGUGAAUCUGCGUCGUAAUAGAGUAUAUCUUUUGUCCUUGAAGAUCCUAUUUUCUUUUUCCAACUUCAAACUAUCGGAGAGGGGAAGUCAAAACAAGGUUCAAAGCAAGUUGAAUUCUAAGAAGCUGAUAUCUAGACCACCAUCCAUUGAAUGCGGAUGGAAACGGGGGCAACGAUUGGAAAAACUCUUGAAAUAUAAUAUUUUUGAAAUUUAAAAGAAGGAAACGUUUCUUAGAAGUUGCAGAUUGCUUGGAAAUUCUAUCUCGUUGUUUGCUUUUGAAUGAUGACGUGGGAAUCUCUUUUGAAUGCGAUUAAAGAAAUUGCAAUAUCCUCGAAGCUUUUAAUAAAAGCUUUCGCGCGAAAUGACUCGUAAAUACGAUUAAAGAAACGUGAAGACAAACUAACCAUUCGAUUUGAAACUUUAAAAACGUGAUACCUUGUGAAAUAUCAUAUUAAGGUAUCGAAUGCAAAUAGAAACAUGAAUAAAGAUAUGAAAAAUAUAAUCAUAUAAUAUUUUUCUAAAAAAUAAAAAUUCAAGAAAGUUAAUUAAUAAAUGAUGCUUUUUCGAUCAAACAGAACUAUUAAACUGUUCAAUUAAAUAAAUUACUUUAUUUAAUUGAAAUUAUAAUUUAAACGAAAAAUGUAUCGUCUCUCUUCUACCAUAGAAAUCUUCAAAAAUUUUUUAAAAAUCUCAUUAUUAAUGAUUUAGAUAUUGAAUAUUAAAUUUUUACGAAACAAGAAAGAAAAAAAAAAGCAAUUUUCCACUAUUUUACCACGCGCAAACAGACAAAAAUACAAUUUUUAAAUAUGUACGAAACGAAAAGAAAGAAAUCCUUUUCACUUGGGAAGAGAGCAAUUUUCGAUCGUUUCAUGCGUGAAAAAAAAGAAAGAAAGAAAAAAAGUACGCAACGCGAAUUUUCAACAAAUAAAAAUAACGAAUAACGCAAUAACGUGACCGUUUAUUCAACACGGUGUGACGCGUGGCUAACCAUAGGGAAAACACGAGGAAAACACUAAACGAAACAUUUCCAGUGCAAAGUUUGCCCGGUGCUAAAUUCCCAGAGAUCGUGGAAUGGCACACUUUCUCUCCCUAGGAACCGGGCCACGGUGCGACCGCGGUAAAAAUUUCUGCGAAGCGCAUCGCGUAACGACGGCCACUUUGUCACGGUCCCCCUAGGGGGGAGGUGGGGUGAACUUGUUGUGCCGUUGAAACGGCGGAAUAGUUGCCAAAAGUGAGAAAGGGUAGAGUUCAAUCUCGCCCGGCAGACCACGAGAGGCAAUGAAAGUCCAUCAAACAAUGCGACAUGCAGAAUCGCUCUUUGACAUUUUGCCCGGCGUAUGAAUGUGUGUAUGCACGUUUGCAACGUGAUAUACGUGCAUUCGCACCACGGAUUAAAAUCGUUUAAAAUGGUCAGAAGUUAAGUUUGGGAUUUUAGUGAGGAUUAUGGAAUAGGUGGAAGUUUCAUUGAAAUAUCAAUGGAAAUGGUGUAACUAUGUUUGAGAGAUUGAGCGUGUCCUUUUUAUUUGGAAAGUAGGGUGAGAUUUUUUAUAAAAGUUUGAGAAAUUUUGAUAAAUUUAUAUUAAUAAUGGC